AAAUGCGAUAAGUAAUGUGAAUUGCAGAAUUCAGUGAAUCAUCGAAUCUUUGAACGCACAUUGCGCCCGCCAGUAUUCUGGCGGGCAUGCCUGUUCGAGCGUCAUUACAACCCUCAGGCCCCCGGGCCUGGCGUUGGGGAUCGGCGGAAGCCCCCUGCGGGCACAACGCCGUCCCCCAAAUACAGUGGCGGUCCCGCCGCAGCUUCCAUUGCGUAGUAGCUAACUCCUCGCAACUGGAGAGCGGCGCGGCCACGCCGUAAAACACCCAACUUCUGAAUGUUGACCUCGAAUCAGGUAGGAAUACCCGCUGAACUUAAGC
rnacentral:misc_RNA from 1 species